CUCUGGGAUAAGCGCUGGAAACGGCGUCUAAUACUGGAUAUGUGACGUGACCGCAUGGUCUGCGUCUGGAAAGAAUUUCGGUUGGGGAUGGGCUCGCGGCCUAUCAGCUUGUUGGUGAGGUAAUGGCUCACCAAGGCGUCGACGGGUAGCCGGCCUGAGAGGGUGACCGGCCACACUGGGACUGAGACACGGCCCAGACUCCUACGGGAGGCAGCAGUGGGGAAUAUUGCACAAUGGGCGCAAGCCUGAUGCAGCAACGCCGCGUGAGGGACGACGGCCUUCGGGUUGUAAACCUCUUUUAGCAGGGAAGAAGCGAAAGUGACGGUACCUGCAGAAAAAGCGCCGGCUAACUACGUGCCAGCAGCCGCGGUAAUACGUAGGGCGCAAGCGUUAUCCGGAAUUAUUGGGCGUAAAGAGCUCGUAGGCGGUUUGUCGCGUCUGCUGUGAAAUCCGGAGGCUCAACCUCCGGCCUGCAGUGGGUACGGGCAGACUAGAGUGCGGUAGGGGAGAUUGGAAUUCCUGGUGUAGCGGUGGAAUGCGCAGAUAUCAGGAGGAACACCGAUGGCGAAGGCAGAUCUCUGGGCCGUAACUGACGCUGAGGAGCGAAAGGGUGGGGAGCAAACAGGCUUAGAUACCCUGGUAGUCCACCCCGUAAACGUUGGGAACUAGUUGUGGGGUCCAUUCCACGGAUUCCGUGACGCAGCUAACGCAUUAAGUUCCCCGCCUGGGGAGUACGGCCGCAAGGCUAAAACUCAAAGGAAUUGACGGGGACCCGCACAAGCGGCGGAGCAUGCGGAUUAAUUCGAUGCAACGCGAAGAACCUUACCAAGGCUUGACAUAUACGAGAACGGGCCAGAAAUGGUCAACUCUUUGGACACUCGUAAACAGGUGGUGCAUGGUUGUCGUCAGCUCGUGUCGUGAGAUGUUGGGUUAAGUCCCGCAACGAGCGCAACCCUCGUUCUAUGUUGCCAGCACGUAAUGGUGGGAACUCAUGGGAUACUGCCGGGGUCAACUCGGAGGAAGGUGGGGAUGACGUCAAAUCAUCAUGCCCCUUAUGUCUUGGGCUUCACGCAUGCUACAAUGGCCGGUACAAAGGGCUGCAAUACCGCGAGGUGGAGCGAAUCCCAAAAAGCCGGUCCCAGUUCGGAUUGAGGUCUGCAACUCGACCUCAUGAAGUCGGAGUCGCUAGUAAUCGCAGAUCAGCAACGCUGCGGUGAAUACGUUCCCGGGUCUUGUACACACCGCCCGUCAAGUCAUGAAAGU
rnacentral:rRNA from 1 species